GUGUCAUUGCACAAUCUGCUGUUAACUGCGCUUGUGAAGAUUUCUCUCCAUUAAUAGAUGACUAUUUCAACAAUUUUUCUAGACUCUUCCCUCAAGAUCAAAAGGAUGAUCUAACAAAGUGUCAAAAAAUGAUGAAUAAACAACUCUUGGUAGAGGAAUUUCAAGAAAUGGUGACAUAUGGAGGUUUUUAUUAUGGCCCUUCAAGUCCAGUAACUGUAUUGACAAUGGAACAGCAUGAGUUGUGUGAUUGCCAACUUCUUCAUCAUUGCUAUUGCUCUCUCUUCAACAUUCCUCAAGGGGACAUCAAUUUCAUAUCAAAUGUUAAAAAACGUAAGAGGGAUCAACAAGAUGUCAUCUAAGGUUGUCAGCUACAAAUAAUGUUGUAGUAAUUUGUUAUGUGUUGUACUAAUUGAUAACUCUUUAAAAGCUACUAGCUACAAGUAUAGGAAGAUUGAGAAUCAAGAUUAUCAUUGUCCUACUGGCUAUUGUGAAUCGCAUAAAUGAGAGAAAUUUCUCUGCUAAUAGCGAAGCUUUUAGCAAAACUCUAAACCUUG